GAGGGUGUAGCUCAGUGGUGGAGCCCAUGCCCGGAAUGCACGACGUCCUGGGUUCAAUCCCCAGUACCUCCA
rnacentral:tRNA from 1 species